rnacentral:lncRNA from 1 species
GAGCGCUGGUGCGCUGUAUUUGCUGAAAAGUUUGUAGGAGGACACAAGAGAAAGCACCGCGUAGAAAGCUACUGCACCAAAUGUUAUCACUGCAGAUGUUGUGGCCUUGUAACAGAAUCCGCCGAAAGACAUACAAGCUGCACUCCAGGUGAUGGCCAUGUCUCCCUUUCUUGCCAAGUACAACACCUCCACUGACACAGCUCCGGCCGCCAGAAUCGCAUAUGUCAACACCUAAAUUUGAUUUGCUUAAUUGAUUAAUUUUCUUUCUUAAUUGUUUUAUUUUUACAACAUCUAUCUAAAAAUAACCUGGUCGAGGAAGAAGAAUGUCCAGGCCUGGGGCAUGGUGGAUGGUCGAGGCAUGGCUACAAUGAUGGCUGAGAGAAGGGAAUAUCCAGCACAUAUGCCAUUCGCAUGCACCAAGUACCUGUAUUUAUUAAUUACAAUUUAUAGAGCUUGACAAUAAUUGUAAAACAGACUCAAUUAUAUGGAAUUCAUUGGUUCAGUUUGAUGAUAAUAGGAAAAUCGAGACUUUUCAGUGUAAUUCAAUUUUUAAAAUAAAAAAUAAUGCAAUUUUUAUUCUAUUUAGUUUGGUCCCGUAAAUAAUUUAUUUAAAAAUUCAAUUUAUUAUAUUUGUAUUAAUUUUGUUCAAUUUACAAGUAUAUGUAAUUAUUAGGAAUAAGAAUUUUCUUCGGUUCAAAAAGCUGUUGAGCAAAUGAUAUUUUCUUAUACCUUCAAUUAGGAAGAGAAAGGAAAAUAAGAUCCAGUCCCUUUACAAUCUUUAAUUUCCAAAGACAGUUUACUUUUCCUUUCUUUUAUUAUUUCUACUCCCAAAUAAAAAUACUAAUAGAAUUAUCAGUUUAAACUCUUUAAGUUCAAUUGCUUGAUGUAAAUAAUAAGAAAAUAUAAAUUUCCACUAUAAAUAUUUAUAUUUAANNNNNNNNNNNNNNNNNNNNNCAUGUAUUUAUUCAAUGAAUUUAUAAUUCUAAAAUUUCUGCAAGUUAGUUAAGUUUUAAUUAAAUAAUCAAUAAUAAACAAUUGAAUUGAAUUAUAACUAAAUGUUUAUUUUUCUUUAAUAGUUUUUAUAGACAAACUAUCCGGAAAGAGAGUACCAUAGUAAAAAAAGAAAGUAGGACUAAUUUCUAUUAUAAUUUAUAAAGACCAAGUAAAAUUAAGAUAUCCCUUGAAACAAAGAUUAAAAUUAGAAGUUUACUAAGAUUGUAACUACCAAUAUCCGUCUCAAAUAUAUUUAUAACUACUUAAACCUUCAUUAAAUGAUUUGAAACCAGGUACGUACUAAAAUGUACAUAACAAGAUAAAGAUAUUUCUUUCAAGAAAUUAUAAAAAUUAUGUACCAUUAACUAGAAAAUAAAAUUUAGGCUCCAUUUGUUUCCGAAAAAUAAUUUACUCGAAAAUAACUUGCAAAAAAAUAUUUUAUAUGAAAAAUAUUUUACAGGAAAAUACAUUAUUUUCUAACGUUUGACUUUACAUAAAAUAUUCUCGAAAAAUAUUUUUUAACAUUUGAUAUAAUAUUAAAAAAUUUAAUUUUUCUUCAUAUAAUAAUUCGUUUACACCUAGUAUAUUAUAAUGAUGAUUAUAUAUUAAAGUAAAUUUAAUAAUUAGAUUUUCGAUUUAAAAUAUAUUCUCAUCGUAUAAUACUAUAAUGAAGAUUAAUUUAAUCUAAUAAUGUGAUUUAAUUUUUUUAAUUAAAUUAUUUAACAUUACAGUGUAUAUAGGAAUGGAAGUAGGAAUGGAAGCGGGGCAGACACUCUAAAAUAUCUGCUUCCAUCUCUAAGUAUAUAUCAUGUUAAGAUAAUUUAACAAUAUAUAAGUAUUAUAAUUAUGUUAAAAUAUAUUGCUCAAAUAUAUAUUUUAAAUGUAAUGAGCUUUAACAUAUUUUAAAAAAUAUAUUGUUAAAAUAAUUUAAUGAUUAUAUUAAAAUAAACAUGUUGUAAAAAGUAUCAUGUAAAAUAUAUUUUAAAUAGUAUGAACCUAUCAAUAAAUUAUUUUAAAUAAUUUGUUCUAAAAAAAAGUCACUUGGUGUAUUUUAGACACUUUCAAAAAGACUAUGUACCCACAAUUGCACCUGUCAGUGGAAUGUUUCUUGAUGAACCAAAAAGACUAAUUUUAAAUUAUGAAAUAAAUUAGGAAAAUGUUUUCCCAAAUAAACAAGUGUAAAUCAUUUUCCUUAAUCGCUAACUUAUUUUCCACUAACCUACAAUUUAUUUUCCUUAACUUAUUUUCUUUUAAUGUUUGAAAUAGUGAAAAAUUGUGAAAAAUAUUUUUCUGCUUAUAGAAAUAUGCUCUUAUUUUGAAGUUAAAGGUUUUUGUAAAGAUGUAAUUGAUAUAUUAGCACAUGAAAGUAAAAGGGUACGCAGUUUCACAUAUAAUAAAGUAGAUGAAUUUGACACUUGGGUUGUUAUUGUGAUGGAGGUGAAAUUCUUAAUUAGCCCUGGAAAGCUGCAAUCUCCAUAGCCUUGUUGCCUGGGUAGGUGAGCGCUGGUGCGCUGUAUUUGCUGAAAAGUUUGUAGGAGGACACAAGAGAAAGCACCGCGUAGAAAGCUACUGCACCAAAUGUUAUCACUGCAGAUGUUGUGGCCUUGUAACAGAAUCCGCCGAAAGACAUACAAGCUGCACUCCAGGUGAUGGCCAUGUCUCCCUUUCUUGCCAAGUACAACACCUCCACUGACACAGCUCCGGCCGCCAGAAUCGCAUAUGUCAACACCUAAAUUUGAUUUGCUUAAUUGAUUAAUUUUCUUUCUUAAUUGUUUUAUUUUUACAACAUCUA